rnacentral:rRNA from 1 species
UACGAAGGGUGCAAGCGUUUAAUCGGAAUUACUGGGCGUAAAGCGUGCGUAGGCGGUUUGUUAAGUCUGCUGUGAAAUCCCCGGGCUCAACCUGGGAAUGGCAGUGGAUACUGGCAAGCUAGAGUGUGUCAGAGGAUGGUGGAAUUCCCGGUGUAGCGGUGAAAUGCGUAGAGAUCGGGAGGAACAUCAGUGGCGAAGGCGGCCAUCUGGGACAACACUGACGCUGAGGCACGAAAGCGUGGGGAGCAAACAGG